rnacentral:rRNA from 1 species
AUUGAACGCUGGCGGCAGGCCUAACACAUGCAAGUCGAACGGUAGCACAGAGGAGCUUGCUCCUUGGGUGACGAGUGGCGGACGGGUGAGUAAUGUCUGGGAAACUGCCCGAUGGAGGGGGAUAACUACUGGAAACGGUAGCUAAUACCGCAUAACGUCUUCGGACCAAAGUGGGGGACCUUCGGGCCUCACACCAUCGGAUGUGCCCAGAUGGGAUUAGCUAGUAGGUGGGGUAAUGGCUCACCUAGGCGACGAGCCCUAGCUGGUCUGGGAGUAUGAGCAGCCAAACUGGAACUGAGACACGGGCCAGACUCCUACGGGAGGCAGCAGUGGGGAAUAUUGCACAAUGGGCGCAAGCCUGAUGCAGCCAUGCCGCGUGUAUGAAGAAGGCCUUCGGGUUGUAAAGUACUUUCAGCGGGGAGGAAGGCGUUAAGGUUAAUAACCUUGGCGAUUGACGUUACCCGCAGAAGAAGCGCCGGCUAACUCCGUGCCAGCAGCCGCAGUAACAC